GAGGACCGGAGGAGCACAGAUUGCUGGGAAGGGAGAGAACCAGAACAGCUAACAUAAACUGGACAAGAGGACAUUCCAUAUCAUAUGCCAGCAUGUGAAAAAGCAGUAAAAUUAUGGGGAACUGGCUGGAAGUUGCUGCUGUUGCUCAGGGCCUGGCUGAGCAUUGGAGCAUUGGUCAGCUGGUUAAUUGGCUCAUGCCUGACAAUCAUCCUGUUACUUUUGCAUUUGUGUCUUCAGUUUACACAAAAUAAGUCCAAUAUUUCUGGGAAGUACUACCUAAGACAAGGUGGCUGCCUGCAAAAAGCCACUCAAGAAAGAUUAUCUGGAAAAUAACGCUAUGCCACUCAGCUGCUGCAUCUGUAACAGAAUGAGGCCCAUGUCCAAUUUGAAGAAUGGAAAGAAGCAUACAACAAUAUUUCAGAGUCUAGUGAUGAACUGCGAUCUCAAGUCUGGCAGUAGGCUCUGAAAAGAAUAAUCAGAAAUCCAAAGAAUAAUGUUUGCUAUAGAGUGGAACACUACCAAAUGAUGAAACAAAGAGACCCAACCAACAUAGGAUCGGUACACUACUGCUUUGUAAAACACACUGCCAUGCUUUGCCAUGAGGAGCUGUACUCUGUUUUUAGUGUAUUUUCCAAUUACUCUUAGAAGAACGGAACUAUUACCCAGAACAACAUGCAGAUGAUCACCAAAUCUAACACUACUCCAAAACCUUCCAGUGUUUUUGGUAUUUAAACCCAAAAAGCAGCAUAUGAUCCUGAAAUGUCAUUGACCAUGUGCACAAAUAUGCAAAGCCAAUAAGGAAAUGAUUUCUAGCAAAUUCCUCAUAUUCCUUAUAAAUUAUUUAUAAAGGUAAGACCAGCAGUGUAGAAGUGUCAGAACAGUGAAUUCCAGACUGUGGAGAGGAUGCACUGCAUUUUUGACCCCCAGUGCCUUACUUUGAGCUACAACAUCAUUUCCCUUCUGCUGUACAGAAGCGCAGACAUCCUCUGUUCCAGCUCAUUCUUUCUCUGCCACAGGAAUCAGAAUCUUCCACGUAGUUACAUGACAAAACAAAUCCUGGAUAUACAAUAAGCCUGAACAAGUGCACUGCAGCCUCCACUUCCACUUUGCAACUCCUGUAUACAUUGUGGCAGUGAGUUAUUUCUUCAUAUUUACUAUUUUAAAUGUUUUAUGCUCAAUUUUUCUCAGCAUUUUUUCUCUCCAUUUUUCUCUUAGCUCUUCAGACUAACACCCUCACUCAUUUCCUUUAGUAAAAAUUUGAAAGCAGUGUUCAUAAAUAUGUCUAUCAUCUGAGUAAUAAAGCUAGUAAUAAGAACGAGUUGAACAGUUUCAUUUUUAGUUAUGCUGGUGACCCUUUGCCUUUCCUCAGAGAAAAAAUAAGAGAACUGAUGUCCUUAAUGUUGUGUUUUAAUUUCACACAUGUUGUAAUUCUUUAUGGAUAUCUUAUGAGCCAGUAGAUUGCUCUUACAACAAAUGUAUAUUGCAAAGAUAAUUAUAUGAUAUCAAAGAAAAUGUAUUCAAUAAUGUAUGUACUGCCAUAAAUGCUUUAUGAAUAGAUUACAAAAUAUUACAGAAGUAUACUUUCAGAACUUAUGUUUCACAACUUCUUUACACAAAUUCUAAAUAUAUUUUCUUGAUUACUUUUUCUUAAAAAUAUACUUUCCUAGUUUUGGACUGAAAUAAGACAGAAAAGGGAAGUAAUUAAAAAAUUACAGUUAUCACUAGAAGGUUAAAAAUGUUAUCAUGGUGUGUAUGUUCACUGUAUAUUUUAAUGUAUUAGAUUUAGUCAGCAUAUAAUGACUGGAAUCUCUGAGAUAAUAGUCAAGGCUUAUGGGAUAAUGACUUACACCAUUCUACAAGAUAUAUAACUUACUUCUACAAAAUGAGAUGUUCAAGGAGUUUUUUUCAUUUUUUUCUCUCAUAUAAAUAAGGAAAACAAAAGAUAAGGAGAAUUCGAUGAUAAUGAUAAGUAUCUGGGUGAGGAGAAAAUAACAGAUUUCAAAAAGGUAUAAAGAUCAAAUCCAAAUUCUAAUGAAAAGAAUGUCUUUAUACAAGCUUAUAUUGCCAAACUCACUAUAGAACAUCAGAUAACUUGAUGAAUUUUUUUUGUAUAGUCAUAUAAGAGGUGAAUGUAAGUGACCUAGCAUGCCACAAAAAUAUAUUUAUUCGUCUGUUACGUUUUCUUUCUUUAACAUCUCCACGCAUGUAAAAAGGACUUAUUUUUUUACAAGAUUUAAGAGAGUAGUUGUCCUCCAUGCAUUUCCAAUCAGACCACAUACGAGAGUUUUGCCAUGGUAAAAUGGCAAUGAAACUGUGGACUAGCAUGUUGUAAAAAUCGCCAAGAUUUAUUUUUGCAUUUAUUUCUAAAGACAUUCUUUACAG